rnacentral:rRNA from 1 species
GAGUUUGAUCCUGGCUCAGGAUGAACGCUAGCGGCAGGCCUAACACAUGCAAGUCGAGGGGUAACGGGGUAGCUUGCUACCGCCGACGACCGGCGCACGGGUGCGUAACGCGUAUACAAUCUACCUUAUAGAGGGGAAUAGCCCAGAGAAAUUUGGAUUAAUGCCCCAUAGUAUUAUUGAUUAGCAUUAUUUAAUAAUUAAACAUUUAUGGCUAUAAGAUGAGUAUGCGUUCUAUUAGCUAGAUGGUAAGGUAACGGCUUACCAUGGCAACGAUAGAUAGGGGUCCUGAGAGGGAGAUCCCCCACACUGGUACUGAGACACGGACCAGACUCCUACGGGAGGCAGCAGUGAGGAAUAUUGGACAAUGGGAGCAAUCCUGAUCCAGCCAUGCCGCGUGCAGGAAGACAGUCCUAUGGAUUGUAAACUGCUUUUAUACAGGAAGAAAAAAUCUGACUUGUCAGGUAUUGACGGUACUGUAUGAAUAAGAAUCGGCUAACUCCGUGCCAGCAGCCGCGGUAAUACGGAGGAUUCAAGCGUUAUCCGGAAUCAUUGGGUUUAAAGGGUUCGUAGGCGGGACGAUAAGUCAGUGGUGAAAGUUUGUGGCUCAACCAUAAAAUUGCCAUUGAUACUGUUGUUCUUGAGUUAUUGUGAAGUGGUUAGAAUGUGUAGUGUAGCGGUGAAAUGCAUAGAUAUUACACAGAACACCAAUUGCGAAGGCAUAUCACUAACAAUAUACUGACGCUGAUGAACGAAAGCGUAGGUAGCCAACAGGAUUAGAUACCCUGGUAGUCUACGCUGUAAACGAUGGUUACUAGCUGUUCGGAGCACAUUAGUGCACUGAGUGGUUAAGCGAAAGUGAUAAGUAACCCACCUGGGGAGUACGUUUGCAAGAAUGAAACUCAAAGGAAUUGACGGGGGCCCGCACAAGCGGUGGAGCAUGUGGUUUAAUUCGAUGAUACGCGAGGAACCUUACCAAGGCUUAAAUG